UUGUAAUCUUUUACAUUUACAAGCAACCUUUGAAUUACAGUCUUAGGAAAAAAGUGGGAUAUACCUGAUGAUGAUGAUGAUGAUGAUGUAAAUGGGUCAUAUGUGUGGAUCACAAUUGAACUAAUGUAUUUCUGAGGGAGCUCCCGAUGGUGCAACGGGUUAAACUGCUGAGCUGCUGAACUUGCUGACCAAAAGGUCGGCAGUUUGAAUCCGGGGAGCAGAGUGAGCUCCCACUGUUAGUCCCAGCUUCUGCCAAUCUAGCAGUUCAAAAACAUGCAAAUGUGAGUAGGUAACAGUGCUCUAUGUAGUCAUGCCAGUUACAUGACCUUGGAGGUGUCUACAGACAAUGCUGGCUCUUCAGCUUAGAAAUGGAGAUGAGCACCAAUCCCCAGAAUCAGACACAACUAGGGGAAAACCUUUAUCUUUACCUAUCUCUGAGGGGAAAUGAUAAGAAGGGGAUUUCAUUCGUCAAAGCACUCCCAUUUGUUUCCCCUCGAAGAUAGGCCAGUUGUCAACAUCUGAAUUGCCUCUCACUCUGUCCCUUCCCCACCAGUAAACAACAGUAUUGGUGCCUGCAAAGGACUAGAUAUUAGCCUAUUGCCCAUUCAUAAAAAGGGAGGUGGACACAAAUCUGUCUGGGCAUAGCAUUAUAUUCUACUUGUCUGAUGCAGGAUCUCAACCUAAAUGAUGUUACAAUGCAAAACAAGUGAGAAAUGAAGUUGUUUUCAGUCACUGAACAGAAAGCAGAGUGUGUUUACUGUCACAGUUGCCACUGAACCUAGUAGCACUGGGGUGGACAACUGGCAUGGAUUUCAUGCCAACUAUCUGUCCAAGUAGGCUCUGUCAGCUAUGCAGAAUGCAAAAGAAAAAAAAUGAGGGCAGCCAGAUCUUCCAUUUUGUGAAAACUUGGUAUUUUUUUUAUACCAAAUAGGACAUAAGAACAUGUGCUACUUAUUUAACAAAGUUAAUUGUCUCUUCUGGUGGCUUUCUGAACAAGAAAUUUGGGUUGAAAAAGGUGCCCAGAAGGUGCUGGAUGGGAUGGGGGUGCAAAACCAACUAUGAUGGGGUGGGGCAGGGACACCUUUUACUAUUAUCCUGCUACUUCUCAUUAGGACUUGCAUCCUGUAUAGGCCUUAUGUACAGCAUCCCUGUGUGGGAUUUUUUUAGUUCCUGCUCUACUGCUGGGACUUACAAAAAACUCACUGUUAUCCUCCAGGGAGAUAAUGUCUUCCCAGACUCUGACCUGUGGCUGCCAGGAAUGAUGAAGAAGGAGGUUCACAAAUUGUGACACUUUCCCUCUAUUCAUUUCUUGUUGUGUGCUUUCAAGUAAUUUCCGACUUAUGGAGAUCCCAUCAUGGGGUUCUCUUGGCAAGAUUUGGUGGGGGAGUUGCCUUUGCCUCCCUCUGAGAUUGAAAGUGUAUGACUUGUCCAGUAGAUUUUCAUGGCUGAACAGUGAUUUGAACCUUGGACUUUGGGGGCCCUGGUCAAACAUUCAGACCAUACAGGCUCUUCACUCAGCACACAGAUUGCUAUAAAAAUAGUUUCCUGAAGGAACAAAGGAUGGAAAAUAUUGUCAUAAACCAUUUGAUUAAUUUAGGUCCUGACUUUUUUCUUCAAAGAGCUUUGGUUUUAACAGUCUCUACUCUCUCCUGCAUACUGCAUAUGGAUAUGGUGAUAUUUGAUUGAACAGAUGAGCAUUUAAAAAUGGCUUAAAUUGGUUUUAUAUAUUUUUCCAUGGCCAAGUUUUCAAAGCAAUAUGAUGAAGGGAGGGGAAUCCUUCUCAGAAGAGAAACAUAUUCAACUUCUUUCUGCAGCAGGUUGCUAAAGAACAAAUGGUGACAGCUGUUGGAAGGAGAUCAGAAGUCUGGAAUGUUAGAAGCUGAUCCAGCUGGAGCGGAUUAGCGAAAUGUGUGGAGGUGAAGCAGUCAAAGGCCAUUAAACAACCACAACUCCCUACAUUCAUUCGAAUUUCCUGCUGGGAGAAGGAGUUCCAGAAGCUUUACCUUGUCUGGAGGAAAGUGAGUAAGCAGCCACAAUGAUUUCCCAGGAUUUAGGAUGACAGGUUGACAGGGUAAUGUUUCCCCGCUGUUGCUCCUUGGGGGAAUUUUUUCCCAGAGUAUUCAGAGUUAACUGAGCAGACCUAAAGGUCAACAGGAGUGGGUUUCCUGUUUAGGGUGCCUCAUUCAGUGUUAUUUUGACUAGAUCAUGCAUCUACUUACAGGAGAAGGAAAUGGAGAACGGCAGGAAAUGCAUCCAAAAAUAAAUACCAAACCCCCAGAUAAUGAGCAUGUAAGAAAAAGAAGCUUCUUGAUGCUGAUAAAAAUAAAUUGUGGGACAGCAUUUCAGAGCUAGCAUGGUGGGGUGGUUUGAGUGCUGGACAAUGGGUAAAUCUACAAUGGAGAAUCAAUGCAGUUUGACAUCAGUUUAACUGCUAUGGAUCAAUGCUAUAGAAUUUUAGUUUGGUGAGCACUAGAACUAUUUGACAGAGAAGGCUGAAAACCUUGUAAAAUGACCCCGUCCCAAUGAUUACAUAGCAUUGAGCCAUGGUAGUUUAAGUGGUGUCAGAUUGCAUUAAAUCUACAGUGUAGAUGCACCCUAGGAUGCCAAGAUGGAAUCUAUACAAACUAAAUAAUUUGUUCUUACCUCAGUCCCAGUCACAUUCCUCUUCUUACUAUAUUCCUGUAAUGUAACAGCAAACCAUUUAUAUUAAGAGAAAAUUACAAACAAGAGGGGUCAAGAAUGCAGAGCAUAAAAAACAAGCCAAGAGACACAGAUAAUAUUUGGGGAAGUGUUAUCCUCCUUGCCCAAACACCAGACGGCUUGGGUUUCCCUGUGGGGAUCUUUCAUAAUUCCCAAAAGAGGGGCAACCAGACUACAUCCACACUGUGCCUACUAUUCAGUCAUUCUUGCAACAGAGCAGAAUGAGUCAUUUACUCUCAAACUGGUUACUGAAUCAUAUCAAGAAAGAGCGACAUUAAAGGAUUAUUUCCAGUAUAAAAAUAAUUCCCAAUGAUUCUACAGCAGAACAACAUUGGGAGAGCCAUGGUGGAAUUAAUUCACCACGGCAAUGGCAUAACUGUAUCUUCUGAUGAUCACAUAAAUAUAGAAACCAUACAGCUUUCCAGACACUCUUGGAUUGCAAGGGAUGCAAAUCUAGAUGGCUGCAUGAUUUCGUCUCUAAGGAUCAGGAAGUAGAACACCCCUUUAAGCAACACAUACAUUGUUGUGGGUUUGCUUUAUUUUUAGAACUGUUAUUCCAUGUGCACCACUUUCCUCACAGUAAAAAAAAUAAACAAAUUGACUUUUUGCUUGGACCCUGGAUCAGUUUUGGUUCCUUUACAUCCAUUUAUGAAUCUGCCUACAGGUUCUUCCACAUAGCCCUAUAACCCAGAAUAUCAAGGCAGAAUAACCCACAAUAUCUGCUUUGAACUGGGUUAUCGGAGUCCACACUGCCAUAUACCCCAGUUUAAAGCAGAUAAUGUGGGAUGUGUGAAAGGGGUCUAUGUUCAGUAACUACGACAACCCAGAGGCUCAUAGAGUUAAAGGGACCACAAGGGCCAGCUAAUCCAGUGCACUGUCAUGUAGGCAUAGAUGGCUAUAAUGCACACCCUGAGAGAUGGCCAAACACCAGUGCAAGCCCCAGUUUAGUGAUACACACACUAGGGAAAGAGCUAUUCCUACUGUUUCAUCAAAUUAAUAUAUUUCCAGAACUUUCCUAAACUCAGAUUCUCUUCAUAUUGUUAAGAUUGCCUGAUAGAUAGUGCCAUUUACAUAUUCAAAAACUCUGGAUGUGUUUAGUUUCCCUCUCAUUUCCCAAAGUGCACAUUUAUCCGUUUUUAAAUGUCUCAUCUCUCCUCACUAGUUGCACUACUGUACUGCACCAAGGGGCCCAUAUCUCUGUAUUUUCUUCCUGUUGUGGAGAAUUGUUCUGUAUAACAAUACUACUGAAAAUGCUGGCUCAUGGACCAGUGCUGAUCCAUGAACAUACCUGCUAUAUCCUUGAAUACUGCUUUUGAUCAUUUGGAUCCCUGUGUUUUCUGAAGGGAAUUGUGCAGGCAUGCUAUUACACUACAAUAAUAAUAAUAAUAACAACAAUAAUAAUAAUAAUAAUAGGUUUUUUCUUGGUUUUUUUAUGGCUCACGAACGGGACCCUGAAGAAGGAGACAGAAGGCCUGAUCCUUGCAGCCCAGGAGCAAGCCAUCAGAACAAAUGCAAUUAAGGCCAAGAUCGAAAAAUCAGCUGAUGACCCAAAAUGCAGACUGUGCAAGGAAACCGAUGAAACCAUUGAUCAUCUCCUCAGCUGCUGUAAGAAAAUCACACAGACAGACUACAAACAGAGGCACAACUACGUGGCCCAAAUGAUUCAUUGGAACUUAUGCCUCAAGUACCACCUCCCAGCAGCAAAGAACUGGUGGGAUCACAAACCUGCAAAAGUAUUGGAAAAUGAGCACGCAAAGAUACUGUGGGACUUCCGAAUCCAGACUGACAAAGUUCUGGAACACAAUACACCAGACAUCACAGUUGUGGGGGAAAAAAGGUUUGGAUCAUUGAUGUCGCCAUCCCAGGUGACAGUCGCAUUGACGAAAAACAACAGGAAAAACUCAGCCGCUAUCAGGACCUCAAGAUUGAAUUUCAGAGAGACUGGCAGAAACCAGUGCAGGUGGUCCCGGUGUGAUGGGCACACUGGGUGCCGUGCCAAAAGAUCUCAGCCAGCAUCUGGAAACCAUAGAAAUUGACAAAAUUACGAUCUGCCAACUGCAAAAGGCCACCCUGCUGGGAUCUGUGCACAUCAUCCAAAAAUAUAUCACACAGUCAUAGACACUUGGGAAGUGUUCGACUUGUGAUUUUGUGAUAUGAAAUCCAGCAUAUCUAUCUUGUUUGCUGUGUCAUAAUAAAAUAAUAGGUUUUAUUCA